rnacentral:rRNA from 1 species
UAAGGGGCAAGCGUUGUUCGGAAUUACUGGGCGUAAAGGGCUCGUAGGCGGCCAACUAAGUCAGACGUGAAAUCCCUCGGCUUAACCGGGGAACUGCGUCUGAUACUGGAUGGCUAGAGUUGGGAGAGGAAUGCGGAAUUCCAGGUGUAGCGGUGAAAUGCGUAGAUAUCUGGAGGAACACCAAUGGCGAAGGCAGCUCGCUGGAACGGUACUGACGCUGAGGCGGCGAAAAGCGGUGGGGAGCAAACAGGG